GGCAAAUAAGCUCAAAAGAAUAAACAUAUUAUGUUCGCCACCGCUCUAUAGCUAGUCUCUGCCCUCGCCCACAUAUAUGCUUGCAGCUUGCUGUUGCUUUCUCCAUCCAUCCAGAUCCAGCAGCGUUGCGACUUGCGGAUCGCCGGUGAUCAUGAUGGCCGGCCUGACUCGAUCUUGACGAGGAGAGCUAAAGGUUGGAUGCGAUUUGACAAGAGGAUAGACGUGGGCCGCUACCGCUAGGAUGUGAUUUAUUGGCAUCAUUCUGUCUUCGAUCGGCAUGUCAUCUCAGCUCUCUGCAAUUCACGUGUUAUUAGGCCUUGUUUAGUUCGUAAAAAUUUUCAAGAUUCCUCAUCACAUCGAAUUUUUGGUCGCAUGUAUAGAGCAUUAAAUAUAGAUAAAAAUAAAAACUAAUUGCACAGUUUACCUGUAAUUUGUGAGAUGAAUCUUUUGAGUCUAGUUACUCCAUGAUUGGACAAUGUUUGUCAAAUAAAAAUAAAAGUGCU
rnacentral:lncRNA from 1 species